CGUAUUACGGAGUCUACUGCGCGGCCAAGUGGAGUAACAGUUCUUCAAAAGAACUCGGAGUGCUUAUUCUUCCGGUUUCCAACAAACGGCGGCAUCGAAAUGGAUUGCGUAUGCAAAGCGCCAGGACUUUGGAAACCUGCCGUCUCACGCCCUACUUUCUGCCACUUGCGACUUGUGGCGCUAGUUUCUCCUUACCACGGUG